CCUACGGGGGGCUGCAGUAAGGAAUAUUGGUCAAUGCCCGCAAGGGUGAACCAGCCAUCCCGCGUGCAGGAAGAAGGGGCUCUGCCUUGUAAACUGCUUUUGCAUGGGACGAAAAAAGGGGAUUUAUCCUCGACUGACGGUACCAUGAGAAUAAGCACCGGCUAACUCCGUGCCAGCAGCCGCGGUAAUACGGAGGGUGCGAGCGUUAUCCGGAAUCACUGGGUUUAAAGGGUGCGUAGGCGGUUAUAUAAGUCAGUGGUGAAAGGCCGUCGCUUAACGAUGGGACUGCCAUUGAUACUGUAUAACUUGAGAGAGGUUGAGGUUGGCGGAAUGUGGCAUGUAGCGGUGAAAUGCUUAGAUAUGCCAUAGAACACCAAUUGCGAAGGCAGCUGACUAGACCUCAUCUGACGCUGAGGCACGAAAGCGUGGGGAGCGAACAGGCUUAGAUACCCCUGUAGUC
rnacentral:rRNA from 1 species